UCUCUUUAUAGUUUAUCUCUAACCUAACUCACAGCAGCGCCCUUCCCUCUCCAUCACCGAAUCCCUCUCUCUCUCUGCAGAAGAUCGAUUGCUGAAUCACUCUUCCUAUGCAACAAGGUAGUAAUUUGUUCCAGUUUGCUCCUUUUCUUCUGUUCAAAAUCUAUUUUUUUCCCUGAUUUUUUCAGGUUUCAAACUCGUAAAUCUGCUGGAAAUCUUGAUCUUUUCUUUGGUUUUCCUCUUGAUUCUCCCAUUCAAGAUGAGUUUCUUUCCCCUUUCUCUUCAGAUCUCAUUUUGCGUUUCUUUGGAUAUUUAUAUUUUAAUAAAAGAAAUCCGAUUAUUGAUUUUGGACGAUUGCAACAGGACACUGAAGAGAGGUGGAAUUUGUGAACAUCUAUGCAUUACUCGAGAUUUAAUUUUAUUAAAUUUUGUUAUUUAACCGAUUUUUAGGUUAAUUUUUAACUAAGAUUUCAACUCUAAUUUAGGUUUUUUUUUCUCAGAUGGGAUUCAUUAAUUGUGUACUAAGGGUUGAAAUUAGUUUUUGGUUCAAAAUUUUCCGCGACACUGAAGCAUUUUAGUAUUGGAAUAAUGAGGGUUAUUGAAGAACACACUGAAUUUUUGCCAUUUCAUUUUAUAUUCAACUAUUAUGAUGUUUUUGAGUUGAAAUAUAGGGUUAUCCAGAUCUUCAAGUGUAUAGAGAACAUGGGGGAGAAGGAAAUGGAUGCACUGGUGCUGGUUAUUAUGAAAUUUUUAGUGUGAUUUGAAUCUUAACCACCCAACAAGCAUGUGCUAUUCAACAAUUACCAUGGGAAUUAUUUGAGUCACUUUAAUGCCAAGGAGGAGUGGGAGAAGAAACAAGCUGAAGAAGCAGAAAAGCUCAGAAAAAGCAAAGAAGCUGAGGGAGUCAGUGGCAAAUGGUUAUGGAGCAUUGAGGGAUGCGCUGGGUUCAGACAAAUGUUAGGUUUCAAAGGAAAGCUACAAAUGAUGAUGGUUCGCGUCCUGGUUGUACUCUAGAAAUAUCGCACGAUUUUAAGAGAUGUAUCUGGAAUUGGAAAAUUCUGGAAGGAAUGUAGGAAUGAUAAAAUUGUGGGUGGUUUGCACAUUGGGAAAUAAGAAACUGCAGGCCUGUAAACUGGAACAUGUAGGGUACUAUGUCUCACUGUAAAUGAUGCUAAUGCUUGUGGAAAUAUCUUGGACUAGUGACUUCAGCUUCAGGUGGAUCAGAGUUUUGUUAUAAAAUCUAUUCUAUUUAUAUUCACAAGCGGUGGCUUUUAAUUAUUUUUGGUUAAAUUUCAUAAUGAGCAGAACAAUUCUCUUGUACUUGUGUUUCCUUGGUGAAUGCAUGAAUGGUAAUUUAUGGAGAGCUUGCA